ACAAAGGAGUCUAACAUGUGCGCGAGCCGCGGGGCAGUACGAAACCCGUAAGGCGAAAUGAAGGUGAACGCCGGCGCGGUCCGGCGGAGGUUGGAUCCCGUCCCGUCGGGGCGGGCGCACUACCGGCCGAUCUUCUCCGCCCUGUCGGCGAGGUCGAGCGAGAGCGUGCAAGUCGGGACCCGAAAGAUGGUGAACUAUGCCUGAGGAGGUUGAAGCCAGAGGAAACUCUGGUGGAGGACCGUAGCGAUUCUGACGUGCAAAUCGAUCGUCAAAUUUGGGUAUAGGGGCGAAAGACUAAUCGAACCGUCUAGUAGCUGGUUCCCUUCGAAGUUUCCCUCAGGAUAGCUGGCGCUCUGUCGCAGUUAUAUCUGGUAAAGCGAAUGAUUAGAG
rnacentral:ncRNA from 1 species